CCGGAGUUGGCCGCCAAGCCACGGGAGCACAAAACUUUCAAAUCAUCAAACGAAGAAGAAAGAAAAGCCGCAAGCCCAAGAGUCCAUGACCCACCUAACCCCGCAAGCCCAAGCUCUCUCUUUCUUCCAUUCCCCUCUCGGUUCCCCCGUCUCCUCCCUGCCCACGCCGCCGCCGCCGCUUCCACCCACCCUCCCCUCACCGGCGGCCCUGCCCUCUCCCUCUCCCCUACCUCCGCCGCCACCACGGCCGCACCGGUGCUUCCGGAGCCGGGCGCGUCCGUGUGAAGCGCGGACAUCCCACGAAACCCUAGAAGCCCCCCACUUCGCCGCCGUGCAGCAACGGGAGGAACACCGGCGGCGCCACGGGCACCGCCGACUUCUUCCAUGGCGAGGUGCUGCACCUCGGCUACGGCGGCGGGAUCCUCCAGGCACGGGCCGGGCGUUCGAGACCUCGUCGGAGGCCGAGGUGGUGGGCAGCUUCGUCGCCAUGGACAUCUGUGAGGAUCCGCUCCGCGGCAUCUACCUCUACGGCUUCCAGAAGCCCUCCGCCGUCCAGCUGCGCGCCGUCAUCCCCAUCAUCAGUGGCCGCGUCGUCAACACCCAGGCCAAGUCGGGGACCGGCAAGACCUCCAUCACCCCCCUCCCCGUCUGCCAGGUCGUCGUGAGCAACGUCCACGGGAUGCAGGCAAUUGUUAUACGGUCACCAACCAGGGAACUUUCCAGUUGCCACACAAACAGAGAUGGUGAUGCAAGCUGUUGGUAAAUACUCCCUCCGUCCGAAAAUACGUGUCAUCAAAAUGGACAAAAAGAGGUGUAUCUAGAACUAAAAUACAUCUAGAUACAUCCCCUUUUAUUCAUUUUGAUGACAAGUAUUUCCGGACGGAGGGAGUACGUACAUGAGCGUCUCUGUGCGUGCCUGUGUUGGUGGCAAAAGUAUUGUCGGGGAUAUUAGGAAGCUCGAGUCUAGAGUGCAUGUUAUUUCAGGCAGAGUAUGUGAUAUGAUCAACAGAAGGAGCUUGCGCACAAGAGCCAUCAAGCUCCUAGUCCUGGAUGAAGCCGAUGAGAUGUUGAGCAGAGGUUUCAAGGAUCAGAUAUAUGAUGUCUAGAGAUAUCUUCCCUAGAACUUCAGGCUGAAAUGCGGCAAAGCUUGGCUGCCUUGACAUGUCCAAGCUAAAAAACGACGAACUCAAACUUAAUGGUGCUCGAGGUGGACGCCGCCACCCAAGACCAAGCUGGCCUCCUCCACAAUCACGCGCCUGAAGAUAAUGGGGCUUCCUACACCGUGUUCGCAUCGCCUCCACCGGCAUCGGGCUGCUUGCUGUAUAGGCUUGCGUGCUGUGUGCCGGCCAUCGAGCCAGUGGCUAUCUAUGAUGCUCAUCACCACAUUAUGGUACCAACACCUGGGACGGGUUCGAGAUACGGGUGCAUAAGAGGGUGAUCAACCUCGUCAGCUCCCUGUCAGGCAGAUUGCCAUUGAGAGGUUGAGGUGACCAUCAGCUACUAGCAGUCGUCGUGAAGGGAGCCAAGGACAUGCAUCUGGUGGUUAAGGGCCCCGUGAGGAUGACCACCAAGGUGCUCAGCACCACCACCAGGAAGUCCCCAUGUGGCGCAAGGACAUGUCCAGACUAUGCUGAUGGCAAGGACUGGCAAGUCUGAUGCCAUGUAAAGGAGAAUAAAUACAAAAGCUUUUGGAAGGGCGAAAGCGGUUUGAAUUUGACAACAGGGAUUCCCCCAUGUGUUGGCGGUGGUGGCCGCCUCUUCUGACUCCAGCAUAGGAAACCUCCGCAAAGAACAAACUGAACCUGUCCAAGAAGAAGUGUGUAGAGGGAGAAUCUACCGCAAUUAACUACUUGAGGGAAUGCCAUCGUGCCAUGGUUUGGUCGCACCUUAACAGCGGUGGUGGAGGCUAGCUCUUCUAAUACUCCGGCACAGGAGGUACCAACACAUGGGAUGGGUUCGAGAUAUGGGUGCACAAGAGGGUGAUCGACCUCGUCAGUUCCCCGUCAGGCAGAUCACCCUCAAGAGGUUGAGGUGACCCAUCGGCAACUAGUAGUCGUCAUGAACGGAGCCAAGGACAUGCAGCUGUUGGUCAAGGGCCCCGUGAGGAUGACCACGAAGGUGCUCAACACCACCACCAGGAAGUCUUGCUGUGCUGCAAGGAAACCUCCGCAAAGAACAAACUGAACCUGUCCAAGGUGAAGUUCCAUCAGAUAACAAGGUCGAGGAGCUUCGUGGUGCAGUGCUGUACUGUGAAGGAGAAGUGUGAAGAGGGAGAAUCUGCUGCAGUUAACUACUUCAAGGAAUGCCAUCGUGCCAUGGUUUGGCUGCACCUUAACAGCGGCGGUGGUGGCCACCUCUUCUACGACUCCGGCACAGGGUAAAAAAACCUGGAAGUCGAAGAGGGGGGCAGGUUGACAUGCGGCACGUGUGGUGGUUGUCAAUCUUGAUCCUGCAGUCCUGAGGGAUGAUGUGAUGUUGGCAUUCAAGGAAAAUAUAGGUAUGGAAGUCACAGGUUUUGUAAUUGCCUAUGUGGUACACUUGUACGUAACAGGACUAGUGGAGUUUGAUCUUCUGUAGGGCGGAGUGAUUGGAUGUCUGGCUAGAGAUCCGUUUGAUAGCGUGGUUUGUUUUCCUUUAUAUUUGGAGCAUCUGGGUUCCUCUUAGCUCAUGGUUUUGAUUUUAACCGAACUGCAAGUUCCAGUUCUAAGAUUGUGCCAACUUGUUGAAUUGAACUCAAGAACUUGUGUGGAAGUUGAUGAUUCGCAGGCGGUGCAAUCCUUCCAGUAAA